GGUUAAGCGACUAAGCGUACACGGUGGAUGCCCUGGCAGUCAGAGGCGAUGAAGGACGUGCUAAUCUGCGAAAAGCGUCGGUAAGGUGAUAUGAACCGUUACAGCCGGCGAUGUCCGAAUGGGGAAACCCAGUGCAAUUCGUUGCACUAUCGUUAACUGAAUACAUAGGUUAACGAGGCGAACCGGGGGAACUGAAACAUCUAAGUACCCCGAGGAAAAGAAAUCAACCGAGAUUCCCCCAGUAGCGGCGAGCGAACGGGGAGCAGCCCGGAGUCUGAAUCAGCUUGUGUGUUAGUGGAAGCGUCUGGAAAGUCGCAGGGUACAGGGUGAUACUCCCGUACACUAAAACACACAGGUUGUGAACUCGAAGAGUAGGGCGGGACACGUGGUAUCCUGUCUGAAUAUGGGGGGACCAUCCUCCAAGGCUAAAUACUCCUGACUGACCGAUAGUGAACCAGUACCGUGAGGGAAAGGCGAAAAGAACCCCGGCGAGGGGAGUGAAAAAGAACCUGAAACCGUGUACGUACAAGCAGUAGGAGCCCACUAGUUGGGUGACUGCGUACCUUUUGUAUAAUGGGUCAGCGACUUAUAUUCUGUAGCAAGGUUAACCGUAUAGGGGAGCCGCAGGGAAACCGAGUCUUAACUGGGCGUUAAGUUGCAGGGUAUAGACCCGAAACCCGGUGAUCUAGCCAUGGGCAGGUUGAAGGUUGGGUAACACUAACUGGAGGACCGAACCGACUAAUGUUGAAAAAUUAGCGGAUGACUUGUGGCUGGGGGUGAAAGGCCAAUCAAACCGGGAGAUAGCUGGUUCUCCCCGAAAGCUAUUUAGGUAGCGCCUCGUGAACUCAUCUUCGGGGGUAGAGCACUGUUUCGGCUAGGGGGUCAUCCCGACUUACCAACCCGAUGCAAACUACGAAUACCGAAGAAUGUUAUCACGGGAGACACACGGCGGGUGCUAACGUCCGUCGUGAAGAGGGAAACAACCCAGACCGCCAGCUAAGGUCCCAAAGUCAUGGUUAAGUGGGAAACGAUGUGGGAAGGCCCAGACAGCCAGGAUGUUGGCUUAGAAGCAGCCAUCAUUUAAAGAAAGCGUAAUAGCUCACUGGUCGAGUCGGCCUGCGCGGAAGAUGUAACGGGGCUAAACCAUGCACCGAAGCUGCGGCAGCGACGCUUAUGCGUUGUUGGGUAGGGGAGCGUUCUGUAAGCCGUUGAAGGUGGCCUGUGAGGGUUGCUGGAGGUAUCAGAAGUGCGAAUGCUGACAUAAGUAACGAUAAUGCGGGUGAAAAACCCGCACGCCGGAAGACCAAGGGUUCCUGUCCAACGUUAAUCGGGGCAGGGUGAGUCGACCCCUAAGGCGAGGCCGAAAGGCGUAGUCGAUGGGAAACAGGUUAAUAUUCCUGUACUUGGUGUUACUGCGAAGGGGGGACGGAGAAGGCUAUGUUGGCCGGGCGACGGUUGUCCCGGUUUAAGCAUGUAGGCGGAUGUUCCAGGUAAAUCCGGAACGUUACUAACGCUGAGGUGUGAUGACGAGGCACUACGGUGCUGAAGUGACAAAUGCCCUGCUUCCAGGAAAAGCCUCUAAGCAUCAGGUAACAUCAAAUCGUACCCCAAACCGACACAGGUGGUCAGGUAGAGAAUACCAAGGCGCUUGAGAGAACUCGGGUGAAGGAACUAGGCAAAAUGGUGCCGUAACUUCGGGAGAAGGCACGCUGAUGGUAGGUGAAGUGACUUGCUCAUGGAGCUGAAAUCAGUCGAAGAUACCAGCUGGCUGCAACUGUUUAUUAAAAACACAGCACUGUGCAAACACGAAAGUGGACGUAUACGGUGUGACGCCUGCCCGGUGCCGGAAGGUUAAUUGAUGGGGUUAUCCUCGCGGAGAAGCUCUUGAUCGAAGCCCCGGUAAACGGCGGCCGUAACUAUAACGGUCCUAAGGUAGCGAAAUUCCUUGUCGGGUAAGUUCCGACCUGCACGAAUGGCGUAAUGAUGGCCAGGCUGUCUCCACCCGAGACUCAGUGAAAUUGAACUCGCUGUGAAGAUGCAGUGUACCCGCGGCAAGACGGAAAGACCCCGUGAACCUUUACUAUAGCUUGACACUGAACACUGGUCCUUGAUGUGUAGGAUAGGUGGGAGGCUUUGAAGUGUGGACGCCAGUCUGCAUGGAGCCAUCCUUGAAAUACCACCCUUUAAUGGCUGGUGUUCUAACGUGGGCCCGUGAUCCGGGUUGCGGACAGUGUCUGGUGGGUAGUUUGACUGGGGCGGUCUCCUCCUAAAGAGUAACGGAGGAGCACGAAGGUCAGCUAAUCCUGGUCGGACAUCAGGAGGUUAGUGCAAUGGCAUAAGCUGGCUUGACUGCGAGCGUGACGGCGCGAGCAGGUGCGAAAGCAGGUCAUAGUGAUCCGGUGGUUCUGAAUGGAAGGGCCAUCGCUCAACGGAUAAAAGGUACUCCGGGGAUAACAGGCUGAUACCGCCCAAGAGUUCAUAUCGACGGCGGUGUUUGGCACCUCGAUGUCGGCUCAUCACAUCCUGGGGCUGAAGUAGGUCCCAAGGGUAUGGCUGUUCGCCAUUUAAAGUGGUACGCGAGCUGGGUUUAGAACGUCGUGAGACAGUUCGGUCCCUAUCUGCCGUGGGCGCUGGAGAAUUGAGGGGGGCUGCUCCUAGUACGAGAGGACCGGAGUGGACGCAUCACUGGUGUUCGGGUUGUCAUGCCAAUGGCAUUGCCCGGUAGCUAAAUGCGGAAGAGAUAAGUGCUGAAAGCAUCUAAGCACGAAACUUGCCCCGAGAUGAGUUCUCCCUGACCCUUUAAGGGUCCUGAAGGAACGUUGAAGACGACGACGUUGAUAGGCCGGGUGUGUAAGCGCAGCGAUGCGUUGAGCUAACCGGUACUAAUGAACCGUGAGGCUUAACCUU
rnacentral:rRNA from 1 species